GUAUAUAAAUGAAGGUUUGGCUAGCCGUCUUCCUCAAGGAACACCCACUCAGGCUUAACUACAGAUUCUCAGAGUGCAGUGAACAGCUAAGCAUUCCAAAAUGCUGCAUUAUUUUGUGGUAUUCUCUUGCCUUUAUGCCAUGAGCAUGACCAUGCCUUUACCUGAUUAUUACUCGUACUCCCCUGCUGCGGGGGAUGGCAGUGGAACUGAAUUUUCCACCGCAAAUGAGGGUCGCAUCACUGGAGUCAGAGUUUAUGAAUACCCCUACUAUGGAUACUACUACAACAACUACCUCAAUGGGCUCCAGUUGCAAUAUAACGGUAACUGGACAGCACUGGUUGGCACGAACGGUUAUGGCAAUGAAAAGGAGAUGACACUCUUCGACAACGAAUAUUUUGUUCAAGUCUCUGGAAAGUAUUACUCUGGUUAUAUCUCUGAGCUUAUGUUUGUCACUAAUGAGGGGCGCUCUUUUAAAGUGGGGCAGCCUACUGGACUUUCAUUUAACUUCUACCCAACCCAUGAUGGAAGUGAACUACGUUUCCUCAGCGGUCGACAGAAUGGAUUUGCCCUGACCUCCAUUGGGGCUCACUGGGCUGUGUUUAACAACAAUUCCACUGCAUCAUAAAGACAGAAAUGUUUCUCUGGCUAAGAAUUAUGUGUUUAUUUGAGGAAAAUGCAAGUUAAUAAGUAACCGACUAAUAUUUUUUUUCUGAGCUCUUGAUGAUGAAAUUAUGAAAUUUUCUGAGUUGUCAUCAUUAUUUGAAUAAUUUAUGGUUAAUAUUUCAGCCUUAAAAUUAAUUUACUCAUUAAUUCAACACUAAGGAGACUGGCUAAUCAAAUGUUAUUCCUAAUCAUGCUUUAAGGGCUUCACCUUUAACACAAGAAUUCUUAAAGGCUUUCAAUGAUUUCAACUAUUAGGCUUGAUUUUACUAUUAAAGUUGAUUUUUUUAUUAAAAUUUAUCAAAACAAAUGUUAUACUUUAUUUCAUUAUAUGAGGAUCACAAUAAAACUGACUUAAAACAUUUA